GGGAGCGCGGUGUCACACAGU
rnacentral:siRNA from 1 species